UCCGACCUGUGACAUCGAGAGUUUGGCACCUAAUUUUACCCCUCCUCGUUCAAUUUCUGCAGCAGAAGUAGAUGAUAGUCUUGCAAAUCAGUUUCAACGUGACAUGCAGCUUCAGCAUGAUGCUCUUCUCCAAUCCUUUACCGUCAAACAGACUAAGGAAGCAUUUGAUGUAGCAAGAAACAA